AUAAUUUCACUGUAAGGUCUACUACACCUGUUGUAUUCAUCAUUUCACUGUAAGGUCUACUACACCUGUUGUAUUCAUCAUUUCACUGUAAGGUCUACUACACCUGUUGUAUUCAUAAUUUCACUGUAAGGUCUACUACACCUGUUGUAUUCAGCAUUUCACUGUAAGGUCUACUACACCUGUUGUAUUCAGCAUUUCACUGUAAGGUCUACUACACCUGUUGUAUUCAGCAUUUCACUGUAAGGUCUACUACACCUGUUGUAUUCAUCAUUUCACUGUAAGGUCUACUACACCUGUUGUAUUCAUCAUUUCACUGUAAGGUCUACUACACCUGUUGUAUUCAGCAUUUCACUGUAAGGUCUACUACACCUGUUGUAUUCAGCAUUUCACUGUAAGGUCUACUACACCUGUUGUAUUCAUCAUUUCACUGUAAGGUCUACUACACCUGUUGUAUUCAGCAUUUCACUGUAAGGUCUACUACACCUGUUGUAUUCAUCAUUUCACUGUAAGGUCUACUACACCUGUUGUAUUCAGCAUUUCACUGUAAGGUCUACUACACCUGUUGUAUUCAUCAUUUCACUGUAAGGUCUACUACACCUGUUGUAUUCAGCAUUUCACUGUAAGGUCUACUACACCUGUUGUAUUCAUCAUUUCACUGUAAGGUCUACUACACCUGUUGUAUUCAUCAUUUCACUGUAAGGUCUACUACACCUGUUGUAUUCAGCAUGUCACUGUAAGGUCUACUACACCUGUUGUAUUCAGCAUGUCACUGUAAGGUCUACUACACCUGUUGUAU